GGAAUGUGGCUCAGUGGUAGAGUGCUCUCCUGGCAUGCAUGAAGCUCUGGGUUCAAUCCCCAGCACCA
rnacentral:tRNA from 1 species